UACCUAGGAAGGAAGAAAUGGUUUUGAAAUUUAUUAAGGAUACUGUUUUUCUCUUCAUGACUAUGGUUGGCACUCUGGGGAACAUUUCUGUUUCUGUGAAUUAUAUGUUCAGUUGGUGGAGAGGCCCUGAGAAGAAACCCAUACACCUUAUUCUCAUCCACUUGGCUUUUACAAACAUCAUACUCCUCCUUGCAAAAGGAUUGCCAAAGACAAUAGCAGCUUUUGGUUUGAGAAACUUCCUAGAUGACAUAGGCUGUAAGAUCAUCGUUUACCUGUCAAGGGUGGCCCGUGGCCUCUCCAUCUGCACCAGCAGUCUCCUCACUGUGGUCCAGGCCAUCAUCAUCAGUCCCAGAGCAUCUGGGUGGAGGAGGCUCAGACCAAAGUCUUCAUGUCACAUCCUUCCAUUCUUUUCAUUCUUUUGGAUACUCAAUGCUUUAAUAAGUGUGAACUUAAUCCACUCCAUCACAAGUAUAAACCUGAAUAUGUCACAGCUUGAAAAUGGUGACAACCAUUGUUAUUUUAUGCUAGAAAGUCAGAAAACAAAGUGGCUUGUUCUCCCUCUCAUGGUCCUGAGAGAUGCAGUGUUUCAGGGAGCCAUGGGAGGGGCCAGUGGCUACAUGGUAUCUCUUCUCCACAAGCACCACCAGCAUGUCCUCUACCUUCAGAAGGCCAAGCUUCUCUACAGAACUCCCCCUGAGCUGAGAGCUGCCCAGAGUGUCCUCCUUCUAAUGCUCUGUUUUGUUUUCUUCUACUGGACUGACUGUGCUUUUUCUCUAGUUUUAAGUUUCUCUUUAGUGGAUAAUUCCUUGAUUAUAAAUACUCAAGAAUUUAUGACCCUUGGUUAUGCAACUUUUAGCCCUCUUGUGCUGAUUCACAGGGAUGAACUUCUGCCUGAGUGUUGGCAUGCUCAGUGGGAGAAAUUGAAAAAAUGUCUCUCUCGUGUAGCUGUUCAGUGAGUGUGAAAGAGCUCUCGGUUCUGCAGUAUUGUGGGGAAUACAAAAUCCCACAAAGCAGUUCAAGCAUGUGUUUAUUCUCAGAAAUCUCCCUGGUGAUUGACCACCUUGAGCUGAUUGAUGAGAGAGAGAGAUCUUAGCAAAUUACACUGAUAAAUGAAACCUCAUUCUCUGUAUUUCCACCCUUUUGAAAGGAUUUUAUUUUUUCUACUUGUCUAUAUUUGUAUUCAUUUAUUGUGUAUGAAUAGUUUGCAUGCAUUUAUGUCUGUGUAGCAAAUGCCUGCCUGGAGCCUGCAGCUGCUGGAAGAGACCAUCAAAUGCCCUGUGACUGACUGGGGUUGAACAGAUGGCUCUGAAACAAAAUUUGCCUGCUAGAAACUGAGCCCGGCUGGUCUUCUAGAGCACCCCUAACUCCCGAGCCCGGCUGGUCUUCUAGAGCACCCCUAACUCCCAAGCUCUCUCACCAGCACCUUAAUUAGGAUUUGUAGAAUUCACGUUACUACUACCGUGACCGGGAGCAUUCAGGUGAAUUUGGUAAAUUUUAUCAAAAUUCAUAGUGAUUUAAUCAUGUUAGUCCAAGAAAUCUGUUUUCUUGUACCUGACACUGUGCUUACUAGGUGGUACCACGAUGCUCUUUGGGGAUACUUCCAAGUGUCUGUAACUAUCCGUCCAUAGAGAAGAUGUUAUAGAAUUGGGAAAGAAGGACGUGCACUCUGCAUUCAGUUCAUAGAAGCCCCACGCCCCAGUCACAGACAUUAAACGCCCUGAAGCAUUUCAUUGGUGGUCUGUUCAUGAAGGUUCUCUGCAGGAAUAAAGAUGGCAGAUGUGGGAUAAACUAGAAAACAAAUACACAGUGGAGUUUCCUGUUAUAUCGUCUGCAGUUUCUGUGCUGAUGAAAAGGUAUGGAUUUGCCUUUUUGCAAUGAACUAGUCACGUGACUGAAGCCG